CCACAGAAAAAGUCAGAGAAAUUCAAGAAAAACUUGAUGCUUUCAUUGAAGCUCUUCAUCAGGAGAAGUAAAUUAUUUUGAAAUCCUACUCAUAAGCACCUCUGCAUACAUCCGAAGAAAGAAAACUGUAAAAUCUUUUGUCCUGCCUCUUUUUCUUCUGCUAUUCCACCUCUCUAAACUUAUAAUAAAAUAAUGGGGUAAAAAUUAUUGAUGUGUGUUACAGGCACUUUAACCAUCAGCUGCCUUUUGAAUGGAAGAACAGUGGUAAUGGCAAUAACACCCUAUUUUGUUGUAGUGAAGUGACAGAUUGGGAUAAUAUAUUGGUAUGACCAUUAGGUUCAGUCCUCAAAUAUAAGAAACUUACUCUUUACCUGUUGUCUCAUUUGUGGUGGCACUAGUUUUAACUCAUUAACUGAUGGUACUCAAUGUGAAUUUCUUUUCCAGAAAUAUAAUGCUAGGUGUUUUGAAAUAAAACUAUAGCAAUUUUUUAAAAGUCAAUUGUAUAUAAAAUGACAGCAACCCACUAAGUCAUCAUCUGCAUCUGUAAUGUUCUAUAUCCAGGAACUAUUUGAUUGUGAUGAUUCAGUUUAUGUUUACCACAAGACAGAAACAUGGUUAACAGAAGAACCCCUAAAAUAGGUUAAUUUGGAUUAUAACAGUUCAGUGUACAUUCAGAGAAAGAAAUUUCAACCCUUCAUUGACAGCUUAGCAAUAUGCCUUGGAAACCAAGUCAGUAGCAGCUUACCUAUUUGAUUCAGUUGCUAUUUGUGCACUCACUGUAUCUGUUUGAAAUUGAUUCAUUUUAGAUAUUGUAUACUUAAGUUUGGCUUUUUGUUAACAGUGUUUUUUUUUCCUGUUGACAGAGCCAUUGGAUUAUGAAACAGGAUGAGGAAGAUGAAGGAUAAUCAGUUGACUAAUUCCACUUAGAAUAUUGUCAAACAUUUCAACUAGGCAUCAGGAAAAGUGUUUCUUUCAUAAGACUAUUUUAAAUAGAAAUUAUUUAGGCAAUUAGGGCAGUGCUGACCAUCCCUCUCUUAGCCGGAUAAAGAAAAAAUUAAAGUUUAAUUCAUUGCAUUUUAAUUACAGUAAUACCCUGACAGUAUUUUCAUGCGUUAUAUAUAAACCUUUUUAUUGGUUAAAGGAAAUUAAAACAAAGGGUUAUGCCAUUUUUUAACUUAAAACGUCUAUCUCAUUUGCUACCAUUUAAUUAAGCCUCUAUUUUGUGAAUAAAAUGCCCAUUGUAUGACAGUUUUUAUUUUACAGUUUACUUAAUCUUAUCAUUUUCUUGGAAUUGUUUUUUGGUAACAAUUCCCUUGCUACUUUCUCCCCCCCCCCCCCCUUUUUUUUUAAACAUCAGUACAUUCUUCAUUGUGAUCCCUCAGGAUCUGAUAUUUAAUAGGCAAGGUUGAAAGAUAUACAUAAAAUUUCAGAAACUGGGAAUUCAGUAAAUGUCUGUUUUAUAUUGUUUGUUAAGGACAGUAGCUCCUCCAGUUUUAAGCAUCUCUUAUCAGUAUACAUUGUUAUUUGGUAGAUAAGUAGUCAAGGACCGUUUGUAUUUCCCUUAGGUCUAAUAGAGACAGUGGUGAACAGAAAGGGAGGAGAGCUCUAUAAUGCUAGGAGAUGACCUCACUGGUUAAAAGCCUCCAACCAGUGCUGGCAGGUAGGGAAACCCCCUCACUGAAGCAGUCAUCAGGCUUGUUAACGGAAUAUUUUUACGGUUGUAAAACAUUGCCAUUAUAACUAUACAUCGAUGUCUAAAGAAAAAAAAAAACAGGACCAUAUUUAUUUCUGUGAACUAUGGAUAUGAAAAAAAUACCUUCAACUGGAUUUCUCCCAGAUUUCUCCCAGGGAAAAGGCUGUUAUUAGUCAGUACUAUUAUCACAUCCCUUUGUAUAACUUUUAAAAAUAGGGAGAGGGAAAUCUUUAUUUCUGUUAGAAGAUCAGGAUUGUAACUUAUAUUAACAUUAUUAAAAGUUCCAUAUAAAAAUUCUGAUAUUCUUCCCAUCCUCCUCAGUAAUAUGGCUUCUUUCAUGGAUUUUUUUUUAAAGCUGACCUCAUGCUAAACCUGCCCUUUUUUUUUCUUGAAAGCUAGAUAUUUAUUAAAUGCAGAUGUUAUUGAAAGAAAAAUAAAACUCAGUCUCAACAGUAAACCCUGUGUGUUGUAUCUGUAGUUGAGAAAAGUUAGGAAUCAUUCAAAUUUAAACAACAACAAAAUCUAUUUCAGAUAUUCGAUAUAUAGAUGUUAAAUUCUAACUAAACAAGGAAUCGUUUGUUUUUAUGUCUGAAUUUACAAAGAAUGGAGGUGGACAAAGGUCUAUGUGGAAGACUGGAUAAUUGUAAAUAGAUUACUCUUCAAAAUUAAUUUGGUCAGGAUACCAGUUAACAAUCACUAUAUGUAGGCAACGCACCAUAGGAAGUAAGUGAUUCUUGGUUCUUCCUGCUUCACAGUUGAACUGACUGUGCUGUAGUUACAGCAGAGCGGUCAGCCCUCCUAGUAGUUUAAUUAUAUUGUCUCUUCUGGGUAUUAUCCCUAUUUUUCACGGGUUUUUUUUCCACAACAGACUCCUUCCUACAAAUUUUUUCACCUCCAAAUGCAAAUGAAUAGUGUAAAAACAGUGUAGGUAACAUUGCCAAAUAAUGUCUCCUAAACUCACAAUCUAGGAAUUUUACACAUGAUAAGAGAGUACAGGCUUGGAAGAUAAAUUCUUUAGUUAGUGAUUUUAUAUUUAUUUAUUUUAGGUAUAUUUACCUGAAGAAAAAUACGGUACUUUUGCUUUCUGAUAAAUGGGAUCAAAGUAAUGGUUUUUAUCGCAAUUCUCUAAGCUGGUAUACAUUGUAGGGUCAGGUACUUUAGCAGUCUGGAAAUGUGCUUAAAAAUAUGCUUACCUUUUGAAUUAUCAUGGCUCUUUGUUGUUUAAAUAUUUAAAACUUGUUUUCACUUGUGCACCAUGAACGAACUUUGUAUUUUUUUUUUUUAAACUUUCACUUUACAUGUAGAUAUUAUUGCAACUUAUAUUUUGCCUGUGCUUAAUCUAAGGUCAUUUGUGUAGAUGAGUAAUUAAAAAAUAUUUAAAUCACAUUAUAAUUCUAUUAUUGGAUAGCAUCUUUUACAUUUUCUCUGUUUUAAUGAGGGAAAAAUAUAGAAACGUGUGCCUAGGAGUCAUUAUGUGACCCCAUAGUAUAACCAGAUUCAUGGUCUAUUAAGCUCUUAAUGUGGCUCUUCUCUGAAUGACCAAGUUUCACGUUUUGCAUUUCAUUGUUAUACUCCAUAGUUAGCCAGUGCUUUUUUUCAUAUCUUAAUAGUUGUCAAAACAUUUUGAUAUUUUCUUUGGUAAAAUCUAUAAAAAUGUUUUCUAAUU